rnacentral:rRNA from 1 species
UGCGUAGGCGGCUUGUUAAGUCGGGGUGAAAUACUUCGGCUCAACCGGAGAAUUGCCUUCGAUACUAGCGAGCUGGAGGAAGGUAGGGGUCGCGGGAACUGCCAGUGGAGCGGUGAAAUGCGUUGAUAUUGGCAGGAACGCCGGUGGUGAAGACGCGCGGCUGGACCUUUUCUGACGCUGAUGCACGAAAGCCAGGGGAGCAAACG